rnacentral:rRNA from 1 species
ACGAACGCUGGCGGCGUGCUUAACCCAUGCCAGUCGCACGGAAAGGCCCUGCUUUUGUGGGGUGCUCGAGUGGCGAACGGGUGAGUAACACGUGAGUAACCUGCCCUUGACUUUGGGAUAACUUCAGGAAACUGGGGCUAAUACCGGAUAGGAGCUCCUGCUGCAUGGUGGGGGUUGGAAAGUUUCGGCGGUUGGGGAUGGACUCGCGGCUUAUCAGCUUGUUGGUGGGGUAGUGGCUUACCAAGGCUUUGACGGGUAGCCGGCCUGAGAGGGUGACCGGCCACAUUGGGACUGAGAUACGGCCCAGACUCCUACGGGAGGCAGCAGUGGGGAAUAUUGCACAAUGGGCGGAAGCCUGAUGCAGCAACGCCGCGUGCGGGAUGACGGCCUUCGGGUUGUAAACCGCUUUCGCCUGUGACGAAGCGUGAGUGACGGUAAUGGGUAAAGAAGCACCGGCUAGCUACGUG